rnacentral:lncRNA from 1 species
AACACUCUCUUUCGUUUUAAUUUCUUGUUGAAGCAACUUCUUGUUGCUUACCGUGUAGAAUGUACCACAUCCUGGCUCCAGUGGGCUGGGUCCCCAGGUUGCCUGGCUAUCCUUCUGUGCCAGUAUUUCCUGCAAGCCCGUAAUGGACACAGAGAUUGCCCCAUGUCAGGUUCGCUUUUCAGCAAGAGCACAUCCUCACUGGGCUUCCCGGCAUGUCUCCUGGGAGCUUUCUCAAGGAUGUUGCCCUUGACCAAGGGUCCAGGGCUGUCCAAGGCUGCUUUUACUUUCCCCACUUCCCUGUAUCUGUCAGCUGGGUGUUUCUCUAAGAACCUUCUUGUCAACUGUGUGGUUACUGUUCGUUCAGGAAAAGCAGGAUAAAUGCCUACUGCUUUCCUUUCCUUACCCAUUUUUUUGAGUAACGAGUUGGUUUCCAGCAUUUCCCAAAGGUGACUGAGAGCUCUUUAUUCCCCCCCCACCAAGUUUUCUUUCUUUUCUGGAUAGUCGUGGACUCAUGCAUUGUAAUUUAUUUAUCGCGUUUCAACCCAUUUCAGUCACUAUACUUCCUGAUGCUCUCCUGUCCCGCCUGUGGCCAGGGCGGGGUCCCUUCCCAUCAGCUGCGUGUCAUUGGAUGAGAGUCAGGAUGGCCCAGGCUCACAUGGGUGCCCAACCCUGGCAGCCCAGGCCCCAAAUAAGGACCAGUGCAAGAGUGGGCUGUGGGCCCGAGGGGACAAGCACACGUGAGAGCCUCAUUUCCAGACAAAGCCCCGUGCUUCUUCAUGAGCUUGCAUGGGGCUCCUGCAACGCUCUUUCUUCUGGAGGUGCCACAGUUUCAGUCAGAGGGCCGCCUACCCUCCUCUGCCGCGUCCCCCCCUCCACUCCAGAUUCCCAUCACACUGUCAGCCUCCACGUCCCGUCCCAGGGACCCUCCUCCGCAGCCAGCAGACUGGUGAGGACCUGCGUCCAUUCCACUCUGCUCUCAGAGGCUCCCUCCGCAUUACCCAGCUGUGCUCGGCCUCCUGAGCCCAGGUCUCCACGUCGGGGAGGCUGGAGCCUCCUUGCCUCUCCGCCUCCCCAUGGGCCUGCCCCUCUGCUUCCACUGGGGCCUCAGGAUGCCCCUUUCUGCUGCCUGUCCUGUGACCCCUCCCCAACACAGCAAACUUUUCCACAUUUCUUUGUUAAAAUAAUUAAGCAUGAAUAUUAA